CAUUCUAAAAACCAAAGUCAUUUAAUAGUCCUACGGGGUUUCUCUUAAAUGGCAGGAGAAUUCACAGUUACCCAAAACAGUAAUUCAAGCACGGAUCUGCUAGGCUAGCUUUUAUCAGAGUCAAAAAAAAUUACCCACUAGGGAAUUUUGCCAGACACUAAGCGAUUCAUUCAUUUGCUCCUGUGAUUUUUCACAAUAUUCUCCCCACCCCUCCUCUCUCUCUCUCAUUUGCUGAGGCUCCCAUGUGCUGGGCUCUGAGCCAGGCAUAGAGGCUACAGGGCUACGGGGAUUGUGAGAGAUACUGCGUCCUGCCCUUGCAGGAAGGACAGGGUGAAGAUGCUGCAGUGGAAAGAUCUCUGAGACUCUGCAGGCCUGCAGAAGGCCACACAGACCUGGGUUUGCAUGUAUCUUGGCAUGGCCACCUACCAGCUGGGUUAUGCUGGUGACUUCCCUGAGCCUCAGUUUCCACGUUGACACUAACAAUCCCUCAAGGUGCUAACCAGGCUGUUGGAAGGGGUACCAAAGCCAAGGCCUGGCCAAGGGUGGGAAUGCCUGUAUCCCACGACCUUCAGGCAAGUGGCCGGCUUUGCCUACAUGGCUC